CAUCGCGAGGUGGAAUCUGAAAGAAUCUGUCGGCAAACAUCUGACCUAACGUACAGAAACUUCAUACAAGGCAUUUGACCAUGGAUGAGAUUGCGACACAAAUCAAAGUCCUAUAGCUAUUCGGAAUGGUUGGUGUAAAUGAAGUGGGUA
rnacentral:ncRNA from 1 species